GAUGAACGCUGGCGGCGUGCCUAAUACAUGCAAGUAGAACGCUAAAGGACGGAUCUUGCUCUUUCCGGAUGAGUUGCGAACGUGUGAGUAACGCGUAUGUAACCUGCCUGGUAUCGGGGGAUCACUAUUGGAAACGAUAUCUAAUACCGCAUAACAUUAUAUUUUGCAUGACAACUAUUUGAAAUUGGCAAUUUCUCCACUACCAGAUGGACUUUCGUUGUAUUAGGUAGUUGGUGAGUUAACGGCUCACCAAGGCGACGCUACAUAGCCGAACUGAGAGGGUGGUCGGCCAGACUGGGACGGAGACACGGCACAGACUCAAACGGGAGGCAGCAGUAGGGAAUCGUCGGCAAUGGACGGAAGACAGACCGAGAAACGCCGAGUGAGGGAAGAAGGGUUUCGGAUGGGAAAGCUCGGUUGUAAGAGAAGAAAGAGUGUGAGAGUGGAAAGUUCACACUGUGACGGUAUCUGACCAGAAAGGGACGGCUAACUACGUG
rnacentral:rRNA from 1 species